rnacentral:tRNA from 1 species
GCACUGGUGGUUCAGUGGUAGAAUUCUCACCUUCCACGCAGGAGACAUGGGUUCAACUCCUGGCCACUGCA